UCGAGGAUCUUCGGCAAUGGGCGCAAGCCUGACCGAGCGACGCCGCGUGUGCGAUGAAGGCCUUCGGGUUGUAAAGCACUGUCGAGGGGGAGGAAAGCCCGCAAGGGUCUGACCUAUCCCUGGAGGAAGCACGGGCUAAGUUCGUGCCAGCAGCCGCGGUAAGACGAACCGUGCGAACGUUGUUCGGAAUCACUGGGCUUAAAGGGCGCGUAGGCGGCUCGCCAGGUCUCGGGUGAAAUCUUUCGGCUCAACCGGAAAAGUGCCUGAGAUACCGGCGGGCUCGAGCGAGGUAGGGGCAGGGGGAACUUCCGGUGGAGCGGUGAAAUGCGUUGAUAUCGGAAGGAACGCCGGUGGCGAAAGCGCCCUGCUGGACCUCACCUGACGCUGAGGCGCGAAAGCCAGGGGAGCAAACGGGAUUAGAUACCCGGGUAGUCC
rnacentral:rRNA from 1 species